GGAGCCCCAUAAACCCUAAACACACCGUUAGCUCUCACUCGGAGUGUGAUGGAGACACUUUGACAACUAUGGAGACGAGGAGGGGUGUCUGAUGUGUUCUGCAACUACCCUAAAAGUUCCCUGAAGGGAGGCAGCACAGACUUAGAGACAGAGGGACAGAGAGCCUGCUGCAAUAACCCAGCUAAAACGGAUCAGUUGGUUAGUGGCGUGCGGAGAUAAUGGUCCAAUUUUGAUUUGGGGUGUGCUUUGAGGGUUAGGGCUGACAAGAUGUGCCGAGCAGCUGUGACAUUUGAGAUGCGUGAAGGAGGACCAUAGAGUUUGGUGUCAGCCCUGGGUGGGAUGGCACUGCUGGCUAAGGGGGUAAACCCUUUAGAGGAGCAGUCUGGGUGCCAUCCUGGGCUGAGCUCCUGACCCGCCGAGCGUGAGAUCCCGGGAGACAUGAGAGGAAGCGCCAGGAAGCAGGGUGAACCUCCAAGUACAAGGGCACAUUUGGGCAUGCCUGUGGUCGGUGUGUGAAUCCAUGGCGAGCCAGACAUUCCAGAGCUGGCGGUGAAGCAGAGAAGGGAAGGUCCGUGUCCCUCUCCCAACUCACGGCCGAGGAGACAGGAGGAAACAGCGAGACGGUAAAGUAGCUGGGCAGGGGAAAGCUCUGUUUUUUGCAACGCGGAUCCAGGUCCUAAGCCUGCUGCCCUGACCUCUGGGAACUCGCUCUGACCUCCUCUCCCGGAAGACCCACCACCACCACCACCACCACCACCACCAACACACACAGUUACUGUUUCGUCUGCCUGCUUUCUUACCGCUACCUCAGAGAGCAUGACCUCCUCUCUUCUUACCCAUCUCCUCCUCCCGCUGCCCAGGGCUCCAGCACGCCUGCUCUGUCAGUCCAGUAAGACUGUCUUUGAGUUUCUACCCAUUUUGUUGUUGUUGCUGCUGCUGUUUUCAAUUCUUUUAAUUACAAGACUAAGAACCUGCAGGAGGGAGCCUUCUGCUCUCUGGUGACAAACGGAGUCACAUAGUAUCCAUUGACAAAGGGAGUCACAUAGUAUCCAUUUAGGAAGGCGUGAUUUUGGGAGGUAACUUGCUGCUUGGAAUCUGCCAGAAACAGCUAUGUGGGAACUUCUCUUAAAGAUCAGAGUUCAGAGGUUCCGGGUUGCAGUUUCCCGUACAACCUUUCCUAUUUCGCCAGUGAGUUUUAGCUUCCAAGACACUUAUGUAAUACUCCAUUUGUGUAAGGAAAAAUCAAGCUAACUGGCCAAUAUUUCACAUGUCCACAAUUACACCUACUUAAAUGGCGUUGAUCUGCUCCCCAGAGCACCUGGAAAAUUCUGGCUGACUGUUGAUCUCAAGGCAGAAGUUUUUUGUUUUUGUUUUUGUUUUGUUUGAGACAGGGUCUCACAGCUCAGGCUGGCCUCAAACUCACUAUGUAGCUGAAGGUAACCUUACACCUCCAAGUUAUGGGCACGCACAACCACAUCUGGCCUAUGCCGAGCUGGGGACUGAACCAGGGGCUUUGUGAAUGCUAGGCUAGAGCUCUAUAGACAGAGCGCAUUCCCAGUUGUGCAGAGGAUUUCUACAAAGGAUGGUGUUCAGAGUCCUACGCAUGGUAACGUUUGCUUUGCCUACUCUUGGACAAGCGUGACUAUGAUUCCUUACAACCAUAACAUUUUUAUUUUAAUGGCCAUGGCUCUGACUGUGACCUUGACCUCCAGACCCUUUGCAAUAUUUAAUAAAUGCGGCACACGUA